GUUUGUAGAUCAGUGGUAGAGUGCUUGCCUAGCAUGUGUGAGGCACUGGGUUCAAUUCUCAGUACCACA
rnacentral:tRNA from 1 species